CAUUUACUCCCUCCGUCCUAUAUUAAGUGACUUUCUAUUACAUGUAUCUAGACGCUUUUUAGGUAUAGAUACAUCCAUAUUUGGACAAAUUUGAAUCACUUAAUAUGGGACGGAGGGAGUAUAUU
rnacentral:pre_miRNA from 1 species